rnacentral:rRNA from 1 species
UACGUAGGAUGCAAGCGUUGUCCGGAAUUAUUGGGCGUAAAGAGCGAGCAGGCGGUUUGGAAAGUUGGACGUGAAAUUUUAGGGCUUAACCCUAAAGGGUCGUCCAAAACUCCCAGACUAGAGUGCAGGAGAGGAAAGCGGAAUUCCCGGUGUAGUGGUGAAAUGCGUAGAUAUGCGGAGGAACACCGGUGGCGAAGGCGGGUCUCUGGGCCGAAACUGACGCUGGAGGAGCGAAAGCGUGGGGAGCGAACAGG